rnacentral:rRNA from 1 species
GACGAACGCUGGCGGCGUGCUUAACACGUGCAAGUCGAACGGAAAGGCCCUGCUUUUGUGGGGUGCUCGAGUGGCGAACGGGUGAGUAACACGUGAGUAACCUGCCCUGGACUUUGGGAUAACUUCAGGAAACUGGGGCUAAUACCGGAUAGGAGCUCCUGCUGCAUGGUGGGGGUUGGAAAGUUUCGGCGGUUGGGGAUGGACUCGCGGCUUAUCAGCUUGUUGGUGGGGAAGUGGCUUACCAAGGCUUUGACGGGUAGCCGGCCUGAGAGGGUGACCGGCCACAUUGGGACUGAGAUACGGCCCAGACUCCUACGGGAGGCAGCAGUGGGGAAUAUUGCCCAAUGGGCGGAAGCCUGAUGCAGCAACGCCGCGUGCGGGAUGACGGCCUUCGGGUUGUAAACCGCUUUCGCCUGUGACGAAGCGUGAGUGACGGUAAUGGGUAAAGAAGCACCGGCUAACUACGUG